rnacentral:rRNA from 1 species
UUAAGUUAAUAAGGGCGCACGGUGGAUGCCUUGGCACUAGAAGCCGAUGAAGGACGUGACUAACGACGAAAUGCUUUGGGGAGCUGUAAGUGAGCAAUGAUCCAGAGAUGUCCGAAUGGGGGAACCCGGCAGGUAAUGCCUGUCACUCAUUACUGUUAAGGUAAUGUAGAGGAAGACGCAGUGAACUGAAACAUCUAAGUAGCUGCAGGAAGAGAAAGCAAAAGCGAUUGCCUUAGUAGCGGCGAGCGAAACGGCAAGAGGGCAAACCGAAGAGUUUACUCUUCGGGGUUGUAGGACUGCAACGUGGACUUAAAGAUUAUAGAAGAACUACCUGGGAAGGUAGGCCAAAGAGAGUAAUAGCCUCGUAUUCGAAAUAGUCUUUAUACCUAGCAGUAUCCUGAGUACGGCGAGACACGAGAAAUCUCGUCGGAAUCUGGGAGGACCAUCUCCCAACCCUAAAUACUCUCUAGUGACCGAUAGUGAACCAGUACCGUGAGGGAAAGGUGAAAAGCACCCCGGGAGGGGAGUGAAAUAGAACCUGAAACCGUGUGCCUACAACAAGUUCGAGCCCGUUAAUGGGUGAGAGCGUGCCUUUUGUAGAAUGAACCGGCGAGUUACGAUAUGAUGCGAGGUUAAGUUGAAGAGACGGAGCCGUAGGGAAACCGAGUCUUAAUAGGGCGCAUUAGUAUCAUGUCGUAGACCCGAAACCAUGUGACCUACCCAUGAGCAGGUUGAAGGUGAGGUAAAACUCACUGGAGGACCGAACCAGGGCACGUUGAAAAGUGCUUGGAUGACUUGUGGGUAGCGGAGAAAUUCCAAUCGAACCUGGAGAUAGCUGGUUCUCUCCGAAAUAGCUUUAGGGCUAGCGUCGAUGUUAAGUCUCUUGGAGGUAGAGCACUGUUUGGGUGAGGGGUCCAUCCCGGAUUACCAAUCUCAGAUAAACUCCGAAUGCCAACGAGAUAUAAUCGGCAGUCAGACUGCGAGUGCUAAGAUCCGUAGUCGAAAGGGAAACAGCCCAGACCACCAGCUAAGGUCCCAAAAUAUAUGUUAAGUGGAAAAGGAUGUGGGGUUGCACAGACAACUAGGAUGUUAGCUUAGAAGCAGCUAUUCAUUCAAAGAGUGCGUAAUAGCUCACUAGUCGAGUGACCCUGCGCCGAAAAUGUACCGGGGCUAAAACAUAUUACCGAAGCUGUGGAUACCUUUAUAGGUAUGGUAGGAGAGCGUUCUAUGUGCGAAGAAGGUGUACCGUGAGGAGUGCUGGAGCGCAUAGAAGUGAGAAUGCCGGUAUGAGUAGCGAAAGACAGGUGAGAAUCCUGUCCACCGUAAGACUAAGGUUUCCAGGGGAAGGCUCGUCCGCCCUGGGUUAGUCGGGACCUAAGGAGAGACCGAAAGGUGUAUCCGAUGGACAACAGGUUGAUAUUCCUGUACUAGAGUAUAUAGUGAUGGAGGGACGCAGUAGGCUAACUAAACCAGACGAUUGGAAGUGUCUGGCCAAGCAGUGAGGUGUGAUAUGAGUCAAAUGCUUAUAUCUAUAACAUUGAGCUGUGAUGGGGAGCGAAGUUUAGUAGCGAAGUUAGUGAUGUCACACUGCCGAGAAAAGCUUCUAGCGUUAAUUAUACUCUACCCGUACCGCAAACCGACACAGGUAGUCGAGGCGAGUAGCCUCAGGUGAGCGAGAGAACUCUCGUUAAGGAACUCGGCAAAAUGGCCCCGUAACUUCGGGAGAAGGGGCGCUGACUUAUGGUCAGCCGCAGUGAAUAGGCCCAAGCAACUGUUUAUCAAAAACACAGCUCUCUGCUAAAUCGUAAGAUGAUGUAUAGGGGGUGACGCCUGCCCGGUGCUGGAAGGUUAAGAGGAGUGCUUAGCAAUAGCGAAGGUAUGAAUUGAAGCCCCAGUAAACGGCGGCCGUAACUAUAACGGUCCUAAGGUAGCGAAAUUCCUUGUCGGGUAAGUUCC